AUCAGUUUGUAUUUUAGGUGCACACGCAGAUUUGUUGGAGUUCUUAUAAAAUGUACUUCCUGUACGAACGUUUUAUUCUUCCAAAUUUUACGAUACUAUGUCUCAUAUGAUAACUAUAUGGAUUAAACGUAAUAUAAAUGAUCCGAAAAUAGACUCGAACGACAUUAAUUGUCUUUCUAUUUAUACCAAUAUCGAAAAUACAAGUAAAGCUGGAGCAAUAGUAUGCAAGAAUGGACUAUUUAUUAUUUUAAACCAAAUCAUAGCAUAUUCAGAAUGCACAGUAUUAUCAUGAAAUGUAAAUGAAUCAGUUGUAAACGAACGAUUUUACUGUAAAAUCAUUGCCUCCUUUUUUUCAUCUGAAAUAUAGCAGCAAUGAGUACAUUCUUUUAAUAUAUAAUAAAACGAGAUAUCUUUAUAAAGUUACAUAUGUCAUCACUGGUAACUGUUAUCUCGUAUGACGCCAAAUAUACCGUUAGUAUGGAAUGAUAUUUUUAUGAAGAUAUACUUUAAUGAUAGAUUUUAUGAAUGAAACGUUAUAUAAGAAAAAUUAUCUCUUGUUAUUCUAUGAAGUGUAGUAGCUAAUGAAGAUUAAUUUUACGAAGUGUUAGAGUAAAAGAGAAUUAAAAAAUUAAAAAGAUCUAAAUAAGAUUGUUCGUGUGGCUUAAUUAUCUCAAUUCUGGUACACCACUUGUUACAUUCUAACUAAUUAGCGCUAAACAAUAACUUGCAAAUAUUAAAGAUAUUAACACCUAAAGGUUUUCAGGAAAUUUUAUAAUAUUUGAUUAUUGUAUAUCUAGUCAUUGAUUGAUAAAAUUUCUUGUAUAAGCAUAGAUCGAGGUUGACGUCAUACGCAGAUUGCAUAUCAUUGACAGAACAAUGACGGGCUCCAAGAUGCUGUUCGGAUGUUUGGCGUUAAUUGCUUUUCUGCAUCCAUUAGUUCACGUUUGUACUUCGAGUAGUACAGCUCAAGAGUAUUUCUUUCUUCACCCACUAUCCACCUCACAUCGUUAUUCUACAUACGGAAGGCAAGAUUGAUAUCAAGUUCGAAGGACAGACCGCAGAUGUCUGGUCUCUGCUAUUACCACGAGACCUUUCGAGACCGCGCAAGGAAGUGCCGGGCCCCUUGAAACUGGACCCAGUGAAACGAGACCAGCCGUCCGUAAACGCGGCAUGUGGCGAUGGCUUUAGUAUCCCGUCGCAUUUUCGUGACGGACAGGGCACCAAGGAUCUCUUUCCUCGUGAACACCGGUGUCAAUAUAAACGUAUACCCGUGCAACAAACUACGCGGAUCCGCGAACAAAGAUACGUACGAGCUGUUCGCGGCGAAUCGAGUGGUCGAAGCAAACCGAAAACGCCUUUCGCGAGUCAAAACGCGUCGUCUCUGACGCCACAAUGUUAGUGUCACGACCGGCAUACUUCAAAUCCGAUGGACUGACGAUGGAGAUAAAGAUGUGGCGGCACUCGGCGACAAUCGGCGGCAAUAUCGCUGAAGUGUCUAAUGAACCAUCAACAUCCCAACGGUCCUUCCGCCGAAGGUUCUAGAAAAAAGAGCACGUGGCAACGGUCGCGGACGCCUAGCAAAUGCAAAUGCAUGGUGGGGAUGUUGAGGGAUGACAAAAGAAAGUAAUCGGAUUCGAUCGAAAGUCAAAUCAUAAGAGCUUCAGUCUUGGAAAGUCACGCCUAGAGUUUGGAAGUGGAUUGUAAAGUGAAUUGUUGUUAGAAAAAAAAUAAAGUUUCUUUUUUUUAUUUUUCACUUCAAAUUUCUUUUUUUAUUUUGUUAUUUUACGUGACAUUAGCGCAUCCGGUAUCGGCAACAGCGCGUGAACGACAAAUGGCAGCCGCUAGGAUUCGUUACAAAAUCUUUGUCUCCCGUGCGAUUAAUUCUGUAUUUGGAAUAAUUUUAAAUAUAUUUGACAAUAUCAAGUAUCAACUCGUCACGUCAUUAUUUAAAUCAUCUACCACAAAUCCAAAAACAGAAUAAGGAAAACAGAGAAAAGAACAAAUAGAAAAUUAAGUUGCUAACAUGUUUUUCUAUAAUAAUAUUUUAACAUCAAUAUUGUAAUACGCAAUGUGAAAAUGAAAAAAUUGGAAGCAACCGAACUACGGAUGAAACUAAAUCACUUCGCUGCUUGUAAAGAUAACUUUUAGUGUUAUAAACAUAAGUCAAGUAGCAAAGAGCAUAAAUUGAAUUUACCCAAACUCUUCUUGAAAUCUGACAAAAUGAUUCUUUAUUUUGUCAAAAAAAUCUUUACGUAUUUUCCAUUCCCAUUCGUCGCUUUUUUCAGUGACGUGUUUAUCGCUACGUCGAAACUCCGUCGGGUAGCAGUUAAUUUCAUUUAAAGUAGAAAACUAUUCAGAAACGUGUAUACGUUACACAGCAACAAACCAGUCACCCUGUUAUUACCUCGUUCUCAACAGUUCAAAUUUCAGGGACAACCGACUACUUAGUAUCGACCCAGUACGUCAUAUUUACUCGCCAAAAGUAUUGUAAACGAAAAUUGUAACCAGACGUGCCGUUAGUAACUACCAUUUUUCGCGAAACUUCUUUUUCAUUUGGCGGAAAUUUAAACAAACCCCGAAACACCGUGGCGUUUUGCAACUGUCUUUAAUCCUUUAAGAUAAAAAAGAUUGACGCAAAAUUUUGACGGGAUGAAAUUUCACGAUAUAUUCAGGUGAAACGAUGCGAAAUUAGAGCGAAGCUUAUAAUGGGAAUAUAGUUUGCUUGUCUGUUGUCAUAAAAUGAGAUAUGCAGAAUAUAUUAAAAAAUAGAGUAUAUGUAAUACGAAACUUUAUAUUAUUCAUGUUAUUAUGGACAAAAUAUCACAAUAUGUUCAUAUAUUUAAAUCUCAUCCGAAAAAGAUUAUUGUAUGUAGAACACAGUUUAACUGUAUUUUGAAUUCUUGUUUAUCAGAUCACAAUUGAUAAGUUGAUAUUAGGAUGAUUAUCCUCAUUUGAAACAAUUUUGUGACUGUUACUUGUCAAUAUACUUUAUAUCUUAUGUACAUUUUAAAUAUAGUACGCAAACUCGAAGUUGCAAGGAACAUUAAUAAAAAUUCAAUAUUUCAAUAACGCCUUUCAUGAUUAUAAUUAAAUAUUUUUUCAAAAUGUCGCAUCAGUGUUACAUCUAGCACCCCCUCCCCCACACACAAAAGUUUACCAAUUUAUAAUAUAUGUACUAGUAGAUUGACAAGUUACGAUUUACAGGUUAUAUAGAAUUCUAUUUUAUGAUUUUAUAAUUUUUCGUUAAAUAGAAUAAUCAAAUAACUUGCAAUUAGUAAAAUUUAAUUUGUUUUAUCGUCAAACUUGUGCAAGGGAACAUAUUAAUGCUGGUAACUUUAGUGACUUGCAAAAUUUCAAUAGUGCAAGACAGGCCAGAUAUUCAAUUGCAAUUGGUUGCUAUCCAUAUUUUCAUCGGUCUUACAAUAACCUUAUGUUAUCAAUUAUGAAUUAAAAAGUUAAUGAAAUCACAACUCACCCAAGGCCAAUGGGUAUGACUUCUUUUCGAAGAUCGAUUGAAAUCUCGAGUUUGUUGUUUGAGAUAUUCAGUUACCACAAGACAAAAACACCACUCCAUUACAGCCGACGUAAACAAAACAUGACAGAUUCUUCCAAUUCUCGGACAACAAACAUAGGCUUACAUACUUACUGUUUUAAAGUCACAGUCUGUCGUUGAACUUUCGCCAAGUAACUUGAUACGUACAUAUACACGUCCCUCGAAAUCAGUUUUCGACGAAAAUACAUACGUGACAUGUUAUGUUGCAACCGAACGUGAAUUUCUCGCGGGAAAUAGCCUGAUAUCGUUUAUUUAUGCGUCUCUCAAAUACGAAUUUUACUAUACACUUCGUUUAAGGCACGCCAUUUUGCAAAACGAUUAUCGAAAGAUUACUGCUUACAUCGAGAUCAAGAAUAGAUUCGCAGGAAGCUGGAUGCCGCGAUUUCUUCCCGCGCUUUACUUUCUUUCGAAGUUGUGUGUUACGCCGGGCGACCCUCUGCCUGGCCCAGGUCACACACCGCGGGCCAGACGGACACCAGAUGUCCGCUCUUCCGUACGGCGUACCCUCAAUAGCCUUAAGUAUCUUCCAUAAAUCUCAGGAAUUUCCUAGUAGAGGCCCUUCAAACCAAACAAACGUCUGUUUCCGAAGAAUUUCUAAAGACUCUUGUCUACCACGGCGUGACAAGGGAAAGUUAGUUUUUCUCACGUAUGCUGCAACUUUCCUCCCACUAACCACUUUCUCUCGAGGGCGGUUAAGACCCUUCGUUUAACCAAUUAAAAACGAAGACUAUUUCCCUCACUCUUCUAACUAAAAUCGUCACCAACAGAUCCGAUGGUCCCGUGCGCUAGACACACCCACCCUUAGCUUUCCUCCGACACAACAUCGUCACUCAACUUCACUUCUUCUACAUCGUUGGAAAAGUCAACUACUAAGUCUACCGCUAAUGCCCAUCGUGCAGUCUAAGCAUAACGCGAGAGUCGGUCUCGGUAUUGUCGAGCCUACAUUUCCUCUCCUAAAUAUCUUAUAGUGCUACGUCCACUAAUACAUUGAAUCCAAUUACAAGAGCCCUGCUCUAACGUACAUAUCUACCUUAUCUUCGUGCGAUAAGUGAUUAUCUCUCUAUCUAUGCUCAUCAGUGUAAUCUAAGUGUUGGAAAUAUAUAAUUUAUAAUUCAGUGAAUCACAGUGUUAUACAAACUCAAUCACCCCUAUUAUCUCACCGGAAAUCAGGGGAUCGAUCAAGUCGUGGUGUCGAUUGUUAUAAUCGUAACGGGAAUUUACGACUCCCGUUGACGUCUCUCCUAGCGACUACGUCUCCCCGCGAUUGGUCGAAUAAACAUUGUGAUUGGUUGAUUUCCUGCUGCCAUAUUCGGUUUCGCCGAGAAUCGUGAACACGUACGCUGGAAGCAAUGCGGGGUAAUUAUUUAAUUUAUUUCAUAAUAUUAUUUAACAUAUAUCGUGAAAAGUUCUGAAUAUUCGGAUUCUUCUGUUAUCGUUUCAUCAUAUGUUAGCAUUAUCAGCUCUCGAUAUCGAAUUGACAAACAGAAUUUUUCUCAUGCAAAGUAAGUCACAUUAAGUAUAUGUAUAUGUAUAGUCGAAGCAAUGCAAUUAAAAAUUUUUCCAUUUUAAUUGGAAUUAUUUAUCACAGACAUUUUACCGAGCAUUCAUUUUAUAAAUCUUAUACAUAUAUAUAUGUCGGAGAUGAAAGAACACCGGAGUCUGUAAUUGAACAAUUGUAGUUAUUCAAUCCGAUUGUAAUUGUUCGAGAGUUGUGAUAAUGAGCUUGGGCUCGAGGCGGCAGUCAGUCGCCGAACGUAGCCGCGGUCACGGGAUGAACGCUUUGUCUAACAAAGGUAUGGAAUAAUUCUAUAGCUCUCCUUAAAAGAAAUAUUCGUGGCGACACGCGACAGUAAACAUUCCAACGGUUUCUGUCCCGUGGCUCGCCACACGCAGACCCUAUUCUUCGAGUAAGAUGAUUGCCAGAUGUCGAUGCGUCUCCGCAGUACAUGUUCGGCUAGCCCGAGGGCCCGUUAUAAAUCUUAAGGUUUAGUUAACUAAAGUCCUUCAAACAGACAAACAGUCUUUGUCCCAACUACGGGAAGAUAGGGGAGACAUAUUUUUCAACGAGCGGCGUCUCCCACUAACAACUUUCCCUCGAGGGCGGCUAGCAUCUUUUUCUAUCCACCGAUAUGGAGAUUGACCAAUUAGCAGCAACGUCAAUUAC